UUCUUUUCAGAUACGCCGUCUUUUAUAAUAUUAUAGAAUAACAGAAUAAUUUAUGGGUAGCGUGAUAGACUUUGUGUCAGUCAUACCGUUCUGGGCUCGGUCUCGUAGAUGCUUGCCCGAAUUAGCAAAGCAAUUAUGCUAAUCAUACCGCAAGAAAAAAUAGAUAAAUUACACAUUCGUAUAAUUAAAUAUCUUUUUUGAGAAUGACUCAUUUCAGCGUUUUAGUAGGCAAUGUCUCCACUUUUAAUGUAUUUAUUUCCUGACGUAUUUUGGAGAGUUAAAAAACAAAUUUUCUUUCAGAUGUACUGUCCAUUUUGUGGAACUGCCGCCAUAAAUUCUGCAGACUUUUGUUGUCAAUGUGGCAGAAACAUAAAAUUUGUCCAAGAUCAUGCAAACAAAGCCCAAGAUGAGAGGAACACUACCACUGCAACUCCCGAUGUUCAACCAAGCACCAGCACAGGUGUAGAGUGUUUCAUGAACUUUAGAGCUAUAAAAGAGAGGGAAAGAAAGAAAUUUUUUACCAAGAAGCAUCAGAACAAAACACAGAAGGGAAAUAAACUGAAGAUUAAUGUUGGGCUUAUGAGGAUGCAGGGAGAUUCCCUUAAGACAGUGAGAGGGAAGUUACUUCCAGUUGAGAUUCACCCUGAGUGGGCAUCGGAACAAGUGCUUGCUGCUGCUGUAAAGAAGCAAAAGGAUAUAGGUCAAUAUAGACCUGAGAGAUUGUGCCCAUGUCUUGUUGUAUCCUGAUGCAAGGGAGGUUAAGAACAUCCCAGGAACAGACAUUCCUUUCACAGUGCAAAAGUACAAGGAGGCAAUUGGAAAGCCUUACCAAAGAAUUACGCUUUACAUUUGCCCUGUUGAGGAAUUUGCAAAUAGCUAUAUCCAGUGCAGGUACAUUGACUGAACUACACCAGUCAGUUGAAAGACAUGCAAGCAUCUUGCAAACUGCUGGUUGCUUGCAGUUCCCUGUGACUGUUGAUGACAAAUUGAAAAUUGUAAAGGAGUUCAUUGAUUGGUACAUCAUUUACCGCAACCAUUUCUCUAUUCAAAGAUUCAAGGAUGGCCUUUCAACACUGAACUUCCAGAAUGCUUUGGAGCAGCAUGCUUCCGUCUUCAGGCCAUUUAUGUGUGCAAGAGUGGAACAGCUGACAUCCAAAAUAUUGGAGGAAAUAUUUGAGGUUCAGCUCAGUGAAAAGGGUAGCAGCAGACGACAUGAGGAAACAAGAGUGCUAGGAUUCUGGAGAGACUUUCUCCUUGACACAGAAGAACAAAAAACGGGUCUCUCUCUCCAGGACAUCCUGAUGUUUGCCACCGGCUUGAACACACUACCUCCAUCUUCAAUUCUGCCACCACCAAAACUGAUCUUUCAGGCCACUUCUCA